AAAACGACUCUCGGCAACGGAUAUCUCGGCUCUCGCAUCGAUGAAGAACGCAGCGAAAUGCGAUACUUGGUGUGAAUUGCAGGAUCCCGCGAACCAUCGAGUCUUUGAACGCAAGUUGCGCUCGAAGCCUUUUGGCCGAGGGCACGUCUGCCUGGGUGUCACUC
rnacentral:rRNA from 2 species